rnacentral:lncRNA from 1 species
GUAAGUCGUCUACUGCCAGACGACUUCCUAUGUAAGUCGUCUGACGAACAGAUAUGGAAAAAAAUUCGAUUUCAUACCUUAAAUUGGUGAGAUAACUUCCUUAGCACACAUAAGGCUUCUCCAAGCACACAAAAUCUCAAACAAAAGUGACCAACACAAAAUCGUUAGCUUCUAUGACUCUAUGAACCAUAAAAAAUGUAGAAUCAAAA